AUGGGUCUUCAGAUUGUUCCAUCCUCCAUUACAUUGAUAAAAAAUCUCCUGGCCACAUGUCCAAAGUCAUGGAGGGCAGAGUUAGGGUUGAGGCUCUGAUGUUGCUGAUUCCCACAUGGGGAGGAACCAAGGUGACUGAAGAUUUACCUGAUUGAUUUUCGGAUUGCCCCUGCAUAAGGAAGCAGAGGAGGACAGGUGGUGGCAGAGUUCCUGAUAAUGAAACAACAGGUCCUCCCUUGGGCUCAGUGUCCUCCUUCAUCAUGUUACUGGCUGCAGUGGACUUAGGAAUGCUGUGAACACAGGGGAUAGAGAAUGACUCAGAACAGAAAUCUCUAAGCCAGUGGGGAGCAGGCGUUUCAUCAGCGUAUCUGAUUGAUUGAAGAUGAUGAAGGAGGGUUUUGGGAUGCAGAAUUUUCUAACUCCACCUGGAAGUCCGGGAACCUCUCCCUCCAGCCACAAGGCCCUGCCCCACAUCCUGCAGCAACCAAUCUGGAAAACCAGAUUCCAACCUCUGCAACAAUAGGCCCCAAGGGUCAGGAUUUGGUCAGUGACUCACAGCUUCGUCAUUUUCAGUCUUUUCCAUGUAGAACCAAAUGCAGGGAAAGCCAAAUAUGUUCCCCUAAGUAAUCACUUAGGGCGCCCCUCUUCCUAACAGCUUGUUUCCAGCCUCCCACAUCACAAGCUCUGAGCAGGACAUGCUUUCCUUUUUUUGCCACCAGAAAGUGUCCCCACUCUUAUGUGUGCCCUAAGUCUCAGCCUGAUGUCAGUGGUGGUGGCUGACUCCCGUGCUCUAUAGAUAAGUUGUGAGUAAAUAGUGUCUGUUCUCAUUUGCGGGGGUGUCGUUUUUCAUAUCUACAGAGCUUAGUAUGGCAGGAAGCAAAUAAAACUCAUGAUAAUGUUU